rnacentral:rRNA from 1 species
UGCAGUCGAGCGCACUCUUCGGAGUGAGCGGCGGACGGGUUAGUAACGCGUGGGAACGUGCCCUUCUCUAAGGAAUAGCCACUGGAAACGGUGAGUAAUACCUUAUACGCCCUUCGGGGGAAAGAUUUAUCGGAGAAGGAUCGGCCCGCGUUAGAUUAGAUAGUUGGUGGGGUAACGGCCUACCAAGUCUACGAUCUAUAGCUGGUUUUAGAGGAUGAUCAGCAACACUGGGACUGAGACACGGCCCAGACUCCUACGGGAGGCAGCAGUGGGGAAUCUUGGACAAUGGGCGCAAGCCUGAUCCAGCCAUGCCGCGUGAGUGAUGAAGGCCUUAGGGUCGUAAAGCUCUUUCGCCAGAGAUGAUAAUGACAGUAUCUGGUAAAGAAACCCCGGCUAACUCCGUGCCAGCAGCCGCGGUAAUACGGAGGGGGUUAGCGUUGUUCGGAAUUACUGGGCGUAAAGCGCACGUAGGCGGAUCAGAAAGUAUGAGGUGAAAUCCCAGGGCUCAACCCUGGAACUGCCUUGUAAACUCCUGGUCUUGAGUUCGAGAGAGGUGAGUGGAAUUCCGAGUGUAGAGGUGAAAUUCGUAGAUAUUCGGAGGAACACCAGUGGCGAAGGCGGCU